rnacentral:rRNA from 1 species
GACGAACGCUGGCGGCGUGCUUAACACAUGCAAGUCGAGCGAUGAAGUUCCUUCGGGAAUGGAUUAGCGGCGGACGGGUGAGUAACACGUGGGUAACCUGCCUCAUAGAGGGGAAUAGCCUUCCGAAAGGCAGAUUAAUACCGCAUAAGAUUGUAGUAUCGCAUGAUACAGCAAUUAAAGGAGUAAUCCGCUAUGAGAUGGACCCGCGUCGCAUUAGCUAGUUGGUGAGGUAACGGCUCACCAAGGCGACGAUGCGUAGCCGACCUGAGAGGGUGAUCGGCCACAUUGGGACUGAGACACGGCCCAGACUCCUACGGGAGGCAGCAGUGGGGAAUAUUGCACAAUGGGGGAAACCCUGAUGCAGCAACGCCGCGUGAGUGAUGACGGUCUUCGGAUUGUAAAACUCUGUCUUCAGGGACGAUAAUGACGGUACCUGAGGAGGAAGCCACGGCUAACUACGUGCCAGCCGCCGCGGUAA